UUGCUUUUAAUACAACUAUAUUCCAUUAACAGUAUUGCCAACCAAAGCCAUAAGACACCUAUUUCAAGGCAGGAAACUGCAUAGAAUGAAAUGAGAUACAGCUGCAAAUUUUGGCUGUGGCACUCUACUGUGAUGUGGAAAAUAUAAUAAUAUUUCCACCCUGGUGCUUCAACAAAGCAUGGUGCUGAGCAUGAGGACGUCUUGUGACCCCAGGUGAAGACAGCCUACGCGGAAAGGAAGGAAACUGUAGGAUUGAAACAGUGGAUGAGCUACAGGAGUGGCUAUGAACAACCCUCAGUGAUAAUACUCUCUUGCUUACAGCCAGCCCCAAAUAAACAAACCUUUAGUUAUUAUAAAGUGUUUUGUUUUUAUCUUUAGAUUAAAUAUGACAAAAAUAUUUACAAAAGAGAGAAUAGAGGUUUCAAAG
rnacentral:lncRNA from 10 species